rnacentral:rRNA from 1 species
CCUACGGGGCGCAGCAGUGGGGAAUAUUGCACAAUGGGGGAAACCCUGAUGCAGCGACGCCGCGUGAGCGAUGAAGUAUUUCGGUAUGUAAAGCUCUAUCAGCAGGGAAGAAAAUGACGGUACCUGACUAAGAAGCCCCGGCUAACUACGUGCCAGCAGCCGCGGUAAUACGUAGGGGGCAAGCGUUAUCCGGAUUUACUGGGUGUAAAGGGAGCGUAGACGGCUUGGCAAGCCAGAUGUGAAAGGCUGGGGCUCAACCCCAGGACUGCAUUUGGAACUGUCAUGCUAGAGUGUCGGAGAGGCAG